GGAGGCAUGGCUUAAGUGGUAGAAGAUCUUCCUACAAAGGACAAGGCCCUGAGUUCAAACCCCAGUACCACUA
rnacentral:tRNA from 1 species